rnacentral:rRNA from 1 species
UACGGGGGGAGCAAGCGUUGUUUGGAUUUACUGGGCGUAAAGGGCGCGUAGGCGGCCACCGCAAGUCGACUGUGAAAUCUCCGGGCUUAACCCGGAAAGGUCAGCCGAUACUGCGGGGCUAGAGUGCAGAAGGGGCAACUGGAAUUCUCGGUGUAGUGGUGAAAUGCGUAGAUAUCGAGAGGAACACCUGCGGCGAAGGCGGGUUGCUGGGCUGACACUGACGCUGAUGCGCGAAAGCUAGGGGAGCGAACGGG